AUUGAACGCUGCGGCAGGCCUAACACAUGCAAGUCGAGCGAGCGCCGGACGGGUGAGUAAUGCUUAUGAAUCUGCCUAUUAGUGGGGGACAACAUUUAGAAAGGGAAGCUAAUACUGCUUACUAAUAGAUUAGCCUAAGUCGGAUUAGCCAGUUGGUGGGGUAAAGGCCUACCAAGGGGACGAUCAGUAGCGGGUCUGAGAGGAUGAUCAGCCAAACGGGAACUGAGACACGGUCCAGACUCCUACGGGAGGCAGCAGUGGGGAAUAUUGCACAAUGGGCGCAAGCCUGAUGCAGCCAUGCCGCGUGUGUGAAGAAGGCCUUCGGGUUGUAAAGCACUUUCAGCGGGGAGGCGUUACCCGCAGAAGAAGCACCGGCUAACUCCGUGCCAGCAGCCGCGGUAAUUC
rnacentral:rRNA from 1 species